rnacentral:tRNA from 1 species
GCCGAGAUGGCGAAAUUGGCAGACGCACCAGACUCAAAAUCUGGCGUGGUUUACCCCACGUGAGGGUUCGAGUCCCUCUCUCGGCACCA